GGCAAGAUGGCCGAGCGGUGUAAGGCGCCAGACUAGGGACCAACGCGUUCUACCACUACCUUCAAUCUGGUCAUUCGUGGCGUGGGUUCGAAUCCCACUCUCAUCA